GACGAACGCUGGCGGCGUGCCUAAUACAUGCAAGUCGAACGAACCGCGACUAGGUGCUUGCACUUGGUCAAGGUGAGUGGCGAACGGGUGAGUAACACGUGGGUAACCUACCUCAUAGUGGGGGAUAACAGUCGGAAACGACUGCUAAUACCGCAUAGGACAUAGGAUCACAUGAUCCAGUGAGGAAAGGUGGCGCAAGCUAUCGCUAAGAGAUGGACCCGCGGUGCAUUAGCUAGUUGGUAGGGUAAAGGCCUACCAAGGCGAUGAUGCAUAGCCGACCUGAGAGGGUGAUCGGCCACAUUGGGACUGAGACACGGCCCAAACUCCUACGGGAGGCAGCAGUAGGGAAUCUUCCGCAAUGGACGCAAGUCUGACGGAGCAACGCCGCGUGAGUGAAGAAGGUCUUCGGAUCGUAAAGCUCUGUUGUUAGAGAAGAACAGCGCAUAGAGUAACUGUUAUGCGUGUGACGGUAUCUAACCAGAAAGCCACGGCUAACUACGUG
rnacentral:rRNA from 1 species